GAUGAACGCUGGCGGCGUGCCUAAUACAUGCAAGUCGAGCGAACAGAUGAGGAGCUUGCUCCUCUGACGUUAACGGCGGACGGGUGAGUAACACGUGGAUAACCUACCUAUAAGACUGGGAUAACUUCGGGAAACCGGAGCUAAUACCGGAUAAUAUAUUGAACCGCAUGGUUCACUAGUGAAAGACGGUUUUGCUGUCACUUAUAGAUGGAUCCGCGCCGCAUUAGCUAGUUGGUAAGGUAACGGCUUACCAAGGCAACGAUGCGUAGCCGACCUGAGAGGGUGAUCGGCCACACGGGAACUGAGACUCAUUCGAGACUCCUGCGGGAAGCAGCAGUCGGGAAUCCUACGCAAUGGGCGAAAGCCUGACGGAGCAACGCCGCGGGAGUGAUGAAGGUCUUCUGAUCGGAAAACUCUGUUAUUAGGGAAGAACAAAUGUGUAAGUAGCUAUGCACGUCUUGACGGUACCUAAUCAGAAAGCCACGGCUAACUACGUG
rnacentral:rRNA from 1 species